GCGCUUGUAGCUCAGUGGAUAGAGUGCUGUUUUGCAAGCAGAAUGUCGCAGGUUCGACCCAUACCUGGCGCA
rfam:Nicotiana sylvestris Nsyl_contig39109, whole genome shotgun sequence.